rnacentral:rRNA from 1 species
GAAACAGAUGCUAAUACCGCAUAACAACUUGGACCGCAUGGUCCGAGUUUGAAAGAUGGCUUCGGCUAUCACUUUUGGAUGGUCCCGCGGCGUAUUAGCUAGAUGGUGGGGUAACGGCUCACCAUGGCAAUGAUACGUAGCCGACCUGAGAGGGUAAUCGGCCACAUUGGGACUGAGACACGGCCCAAACUCCUACGGGAGGCAGCAGUAGGGAAUCUUCCACAAUGGACGAAAGUCUGAUGGAGCAACGCCGCGUGAGUGAAGAAGGGUUUCGGCUCGUAAAACUCUGUUGUUAAAGAAGAACAUAUCUGAGAGUAACUGUUCAGGUAUUGACGGUAUUUAACCAGAAAGCCACGGCUAACUACGUGCCAGCAGCCGCGGUAAUACGUAGGUGGCAAGCGUUGUCCGGAUUUAUUGGGCGUAAAGCGAGCGCAGGCGGUUUUUUAAGUCUGAUGUGAAAGCCUUCGGCUCAACCGAAGAAGUGCAUCGGAAACUGGGAAACUUGAGUGCAGAAGAGGACAGUGGAACUCCAUGUGUAGCGGUGAAAUGCGUAGAUAUAUGGAAGAACACCAGUGGCGAAGGCGGCUGUCUGGUCUGUAACUGACGCUGAGGCUCGAAAGUAUGGGUAGCAAACAGGAUUAGAUACCCUGGUAGUCCAUA